UUGGUGCUGGUGGGUUAGGUGUAUUUAUUUUUCGCGGAAUUGCAGUGGUAAAUAAUCAGUUAAUUUUAGCUGGUGCGGUUCCUGCUGCAUUAAU
rnacentral:tRNA from 1 species